UGGGCCCUACGGGAGGCAGCAGUGAGGAAUAUUGGUCAAUGGCCGGGAGGCUGAACCAGCCAAGUCGCGUGAGGGAAGACGGCCCUACGGGUUGUAAACCUCUUUUGUCAGGGAGCAAGGUGCAGGUCGGGACCUGCUGUGAGAGUACCUAAAGAAAAAGCAUCGGCUAACUCCGUGCCAGCAGCCGCGGUAAUACGGAGGAUGCGAGCGUUAUCCGGAUUUAUUGGGUUUAAAGGGUGCGUAGGCGGUCGGAUAAGUUAGAGGUGAAAUCCCGAGGCUCAACUUCGGAAUUGCCUCUGAUACUG
rnacentral:rRNA from 1 species